UCUCCUUUGAAUCAGAUUCUCUUUAUUUU
rnacentral:piRNA from 1 species